UACGUAGGGGGCUAGCGUUGUCCGGAAUCAUUGGGCGUAAAGAGCGUGUAGGCGGCUUGGUAAGUCCGCUGUGAAAGUCCAGGGCUCAACCCUGGAAUGCCAGUGGAUACUGUCAAGCUAGAGUCCGGAAGAGGCGAGUGGAAUUCCUGGUGUAGCAGUGAAAUGCGUAGAUAUCAGGAGGAACACCGAUGGCGAAGGCAGGUCUCUGGGCUGACACUGACGCUCAUGCACGAAAGCGUGGGGAGCAAACAGG
rnacentral:rRNA from 1 species